UACGAAGGGUGCAAGCGUUACUCGGAAUUACUGGGCGUAAAGCGUGCGUAGGUGGUUUUUUAAGUCCGUUGUGAAAGCCCUGGGCUCAACCUGGGAAUGGCAGUGGAUACUGGAAAGCUAGAGUGCGGUAGAGGGUAGUGGAAUUCCCGGUGUAGCAGUGAAAUGCGUAGAUAUCGUAAGGAAGACCAGUGGCGAAGGCGAGUCUCUGGACGACUCCUGACACUGAGGCACGAAAGCUAGGGGAGCAAACAGG
rnacentral:rRNA from 1 species